rnacentral:lncRNA from 1 species
AAGUCCACGUGGCAAGGAACUAAGGACUCCUGCCAACAGCCAGACACAAACUGUGACCUCCUGCCAACAGGCAUGCGAAUGAGCCAUUUUAGAAGCUGACCCUCUAACCAUGUUCAAGCUUUCAAAUGACUGCAACCACUGCUGACAUGCUAAAUGCAACCACAUGAGAAACCCUGAGGCAGAAAAACCCAGGCUAGAGUACAAAUGUGAAUAACAUCACAUGCCAAUCAUUCAGGAGUUAUUCAAUAUGCACUGAUGACCCCAAGAGCAGUGAAAAUAACCGUGACAGAAGCUUCCUGAUG